UACAGAGGGUGCGAGCGUUAAUCGGAAUUACUGGACGUAAAGCGCGCGUAGGCGGCUUUGCAAGUCGGGUGUGAAAUCCCCAGGCUUAACCUGGGAACUGCAUUCGAGACUGCAUUGCUAGAGUAUGGGAGAGGGAAGUGGAAUUUCCGGUGUAGCGGUGAAAUGCGUAGAUAUCGGAAGGAACAUCAGUGGCGAAAGCGACUCCCUGGACCAAUACUGACGCUCAUGUGCGAAAGCGUGGGGAGCAAACAGG
rnacentral:rRNA from 1 species